rnacentral:rRNA from 1 species
GAAUUUUAUAUAAAUUUAUUAUGUGAUUUAUUAUAUGAUAUAUUAUUAAAUUUAUAUUUUAUUGGGAGGAUAAUUAAAUUAUAUAAACUUUAAUAUUAUAAAAUCAUUGAUGUAUGAAUUAAGUAUUUAAGGAAUGGUUAAAAUAAUUUAAAUAGAAUUAAUUACCUUAGGGAUAACAGCGUAAUAUUUUUAGAGAGAUCUUAUUAAUAAAAAUGAUUGC